CUUAGAGAGACCUUAGAGUAUUUGUGGAAGCUUCAAGCCAAUUUUCAGCCUUCCUGGUUUGGCAUUUACGCGAGUACCUUACUACUGCACAGAGUAUGCUUCAUCAGGCACUGGACUCCACAAAUGUCAGUAAGGUUCCUGGUGGCUAGGCUGGCAGCAUCGUUUGGCAUUAGGCUGACUUUCCUUCAUACUCCGUCUGACCGCUCACCUCCCAACCUCUGCCUCAAUAUGGAAGGUCCUCCUCAUACACUAAGGUAUAGCUCAGGAUAAGCAGGGUAAUGUGUAUACACCAUACCUGCAUGUUUUCAAAGGUAUGGAUUGUUGGCAUCCUGCAAUGUGACGAGUUGUUCAUGGACCAGGCAGUUUAUUCCUUCCUCCCUGGACCUCACACUCUUCAGACACUGAGCACCUGUACUGCUGUGGAGGACUAUUUGUUUUUCCUCUGCUAUGGUGUACGACUUAACACACCACAGGCUGGGGCAGCAGGCAUUCUACCAGCAGCAGUGCACUCUAGGGUAUCUUGGGGAGGGUUGACCUCUUCAGGUCAGGCUAGGAAUUAAAUGCGUUUCCUGGGUUCUUCUCUUAACGUUAAUUUUCUAUUCUCGUUUGCCAAUAAAUAUAAACUAAAGGACUUAAACAAAGCUGAAUGAUCAUGAGGUGCCUAAUGAUCCUUGCGAACCCAGUAUGAAUUUGUAUCCAAGUCAUAUGCAUACAGCCAUAGUAUCCCUGACACAUUUCCAUAGACCUGCAGAUUCUUUACUUACAGUCUCUUAGUCAGGGUCAAUCCCAUUUCACUUCCAGUAAUUCAGUGGCUGAAUAUGAAAUUGAAUUGGAGCUGGACUCAAGCCCAUUGAGUAAAUAGGGGAAAUGCACAACCUCCUCUCACAGUCCUACAGGCACAACAACACUCACCCCAUAGAUAACCAAUAGUAUUGCUGUCCCAUCAUAUCAAUGGUCAAAACAUAAUAACCUUGUAAUGGUCCUCAUGCACUGUACCUUGUAUCAUAAUGAUUAAUUAAAAGUUUUUAGUAAAAAUUAUUGUCAGAGCACCAAU